rnacentral:rRNA from 1 species
CAAUAGCGUAUAUUAAAGCUGUUGCGGUUAAAAAGCUCGUAGUUGGAUUUCUGUCAAGGACAACUGGUCCGCCCUCCGGGUGAGCACAUAGUUUGGUCUUGGCAUCUUGCUGGAAACUGUUGCUGCACUUGGCUGUGUGGCGCAGCGUCCAGCACUUUCACUUUGAGGAAAUUGGAGUGUUUCAAGCAGGCACAUGCCUUUGGACACAGUAGCAUGGAAUAAUUAGAUUGGGCUUUUGCUCCAAUUUGUCGGUUUCUGGAGCUGAGGUGAGAAUUAAUGGGGAUUGUUGGGGGCAUCCGAAUUUAGCCGUCAGAGGUGGAAUUCUUGGAUCUGCUAAAGACGGACAACUGCGAAAGCGUUUGCCCAGGAUGUUUUCAUUG